rnacentral:rRNA from 1 species
CAGCAGCCACGGGAAUACGAAGGGUGCAAGCGUUACUCGGAAUUACUGGGCGUAAAGCGUGCGUAGGUGGUGGUUUAAGUCCGUUGUGAAAGCCCUGGGCUCAACCUGGGAACUGCAGUAGAUACUGGAUCACUAGAGUGUGGUAGAGGAUAGUGGAAUUUCCGGUGUAGCAGUGAAAUGCGUAGAGAUCGGAAGGAACAUCUGUGGCGAAGGCGACUAUCUGGGCCAACACUGACACUGAGGCACGAAAGCGUGGGGAGCAAACAGGAUUAGAUACCCCUGUAGUCCCUGUCUCUUAUAA